rnacentral:rRNA from 1 species
GAGUUUGAUCUUGGCUCAGAUUGAACGCUGGCGGCAUGCCUUACACAUGCAAGUCGAACGGUAGCACGGGAGCUUGCUCCUGGUGGCGAGUGGCGAACGGGUGAGUAAUGCAUCGGAACGUAUCCUGGAGUGGGGGAUAACGUAGCGAAAGUUACGCUAAUACCGCAUAUUCUGUGAGCAGGAAAGCGGGGGACCUUCGGGCCUCGCGCUCUUGGAGCGGCCGAUGUCGGAUUAGCUAGUUGGUGAGGUAAAGGCUCACCAAGGCGACGAUCCGUAGCAGGUCUGAGAGGAUGAUCUGCCACACUGGAACUGAGACACGGUCCAGACUCCUACGGGAGGCAGCAGUGGGGAUUUUGGACAAUGGGGCAACCCUGAUCCAGCCAUGCCGCGUGAGUGAAGAAGGCCU